rnacentral:rRNA from 1 species
GAUGAACGCUGGCGGCGUGCCUAAUACAUGCAAGUCGAGCGAACGGACGAGAAGCUUGCUUCUCUGAUGUUAGCGGCGGACGGGUGAGUAACACGUGGAUAACCUACCUAUAAGACUGGGAUAACUUCGGGAAACCGUAGCUAAUACCGGAUAAUAUUUUGAACCGCAUGGUUCAAAAGUGAAAGACGGUCUUGCUGUCACUUAUAGAUGGAUCCGCGCUGCAUUAGCUAGUUGGUAAGGUAACGGCUUACCAAGGCAACGAUGCAUAGCCGACCUGAGAGGUGGAUCGGCCACACUGGAACUGAGACACGGUCCGAACCCCAACGGGAGGCAGCAUGAGGGAAUCUUCCGCAAUGGGCGAAAGCCUGACGGAGCAACGCCGCGGGAGUGAUGAGGGUCUGCGGAUCGUAAAACUCUGUUAUUAGGAAAGAACAUAUGUGUAAGUAACUGUGCACAUCUUGACGGUACCUAAGCAGAAAGCCACGGCAAAAUACGG